AACCUUGUUGUCAAUUUGUCCAAAUGCGUGUGCGUGUGUGUGACAUUCUUUUUCUUUUGCCAUAAAUAAAUCUCUCAGUGGACGACCUGGACUCAUCCAGAAAAUAUAAAUUUAAAUUUGGACUACAACUGUACUCGUACACUGACGAGUAUAAACCUCUCACCAAAAUAAAGAAAAAAAUAUAAAAGUUUUAAUGUGUUUUUAUUGUGUUUUAAUUGCAGGGUGAGAGUGCAGCCAAGGACCCAUCGACCUCUUUCUCUGGGCCUGAUCCUCCAUACACUCAAGCCAUGUCCAAAAGAGCCACACGAAUGUCCCGGUGUCCUCGUUGGAAAUUAUACCACAUCCAAACAGUGUCAACUAUUCGUGGUGAUUUACACUAACAAAUGGAACAAAGGGCAUGUCGUACUUAUUGGUCAGGUUAUACACUCAGCCAGAGCAAAUGCAAUCCAUAAUCAUGGGUUUGAUUUGGAUCAGGGCAUAUCAGGUGGUAUAGCUGCUUGAUCAAGUAUUUGUAGCAAAUGGCAGAAACCUUGUGCAUUAAGUAGAGGCUACUUGUGACUUAAAGAGACUUGAGUGGAAACUGAUACUGAAAUCAUUUUCAAUUUAGAUAUAUUUAAUUAAGAGAAUAGUUCUAGAUUUGAUACAGAUUAUACACCAUAUUUUUUAUUGUAUUAGUUUAAUUGGCCAAUUAGAAUGAUUAAUCAACUUGGCCCAGAAUAAUUUUUCAAGCAAGAAAAUCAUAUUGAUUGUUUAUC